rnacentral:rRNA from 1 species
ACAUCCAGAGAAUUUAGCAGAGAUGCUUUAGUGCCUUCGGGAACUCUGAGACAGGUGCUGCAUGGCUGUCGUCAGCUCGUGUUGUGAAAUGUUGGGUUAAGUCCCGNAACGAGCGCAACCCUUAUCCUUUGUUGCCAGCACGUAAUGGUGGGAAACUCAAAGGAGACUGCCGGUGAUAAACCGGAGGAAGUGGGGAUGACGUCAAGUCAUCAUGGCCCUUACGAGUAGGGCUACACACGUGCUACAAUGGCGCAUACAAAGAGAAGCGACCUCGCGAGAGCAAGCGGACCUCAUAAAGUGCGUCGUAGUCCGGAUUGGAGUCUGCAACUCGACUCCAUGAAGUCGGAAUCGCUAGUAAUCGUAAAUCAGAAUGUUACGGUGAAUACGUUCCCGGGCCUUGUACACACCGCCCGUCACACCAUGGGAGUGGGUUGCAAAAGAAGUAGAUAGCUUAACCUUCGGGAGGGCGUUUACCACUUUGUGAUUCAUGACUGGGGUGAAGUCGUAACAAGGUAAGCGUAGUGCU